GUCUCUGUAGCUCAGCUGGAUAGAGCGUUUGGCUACGAACCAAAAGGUCGGGAGUUCGAAUCUCUUCGAGCGUA
rnacentral:tRNA from 1 species